GUUCGCUGAUUCAAAAGAAUGAUCAUGCAUUUCAAAAAUAUGUUCCCUAACUCAAAAAAAUGUUCGUGAAUUUUAAAAAUUGUUCGACCAAUUUCAUAAAAAUGUUGGUCGAUUCUAGAAAUGUUCGCCGAUUCAAGAAAAUCUUUUAAAAAAUGUUCACUAUUUUAUAUAAAAUGUUUGCAAAUAGUAUAAACGUUCAUGAAUUCAAAAAAUGUUUUCGAUUUUAGAAAAUAUUCGAAAAUUUGAAAAAUGGUUCACGAAUCUGAAAAUUGUUCAUGAUUUCAAAUAUGUUCAAGAGUUUAAAAAAAGUUUAGGAUUUCAAAAAUUGUUCAUUAUUUCAUGAAAUUGAGGGUGAUAGCGUAUCUCGGUGAUGCAGCAAAAUGUGGUAGUGGCCGUUGGAGAUUAUGAUAUUUUUUUUGGUUGCAACGUACAGGCCCUUUUGCCAGUAUAUUCAACGAACAAAGUCCCAAAAAUCUGCAUACAAGGUCCAUUAUCCCUCAUGGUAACAAAGAGCAUGUACACGGCACAAAAUAGACACUGAACUAACAGAAAUGGAAGAAAAAACACCACUUUUUCGAGCCAAUAAAACACAUGCUGGCACAGCCCCCCUUAGCUGAACCGAUGAGCAACAACGCAUUUUUACAUCAUUAACCAAAGUUAUCUCUACUAUUAAAGGAGAAUCGAACGUCGUGAUGGUUCGACCUUCUUCGCACGUACGUGAGAAAAAUCAGACCUCCUUCCCACCCUCUUCCCUCCCGCACGCUAAAGAAAAAACAUUAAAAAAAACAACCCACAUACACACGUCCCACCCUCACUUCCCUUUCCCCAAAUCGCUCGCUACUGAUCCCAUGCCUAUGAGUCGCCGCCGCCGACUUAUUCUUGUCUACGGCGACCUCAAGCGGCAGCCAAGGAGCUGCUCGACGCGGGGAGGGCCGAGGACGAAGCGGCGCAGUGGCGACAACGACGGGCGACCUCAACUGGCAGUAUACUGCAGCGAAAGGAAGAGCUAGACGUGGGGAGGGCGAUGAGCAGGAGCGGCGCGGUGGCGACAACGAUGGACGACGCCCCAGCUCGAUUGGAUUAUCAUGAUCUAAGUAGCGAUGCCGCGGUGUCAUCGUGGUUGGAGGAGACAACUCAUAUGAACAUGCCAAGGAGACCGAUCAUACUACUUUAUGCAAUGAGGUGGCGGACUUGUACGGCAUCACGACGGACAACUCGCGGUCCGUGUGCCGCGGCAUGGCUUUGGCUCGUCAGGCAAUAUUGGUCCAAUAUGGGUCUUACCAUCGCAGUGCUGCAAGGCCUAUGUAUUGCCUCGCCCUUUUCCACUGCUCAAACAGUCAUCUACUGCAAAAGGUACAAAGAAUAGGCUUCAGUUUGUUGUUACUCACAACUCACAAGCAGAUGACAAUCUUUCUUUCAGUGAAUAGAGUAGCU